rnacentral:lncRNA from 1 species
GCUCAGUGUAGGUGACAGCAUCACGAAUAACAUUCUCGAGAAAGAUCUUGAGAACACCGUGAGUUUUUAUUGAUGAGACCACUAAUUCUCUUCACACUGCCUCUUCUGCCAAACGGCGAAUUGCAGGCUUGGUAAUUCCCUGGAUGUUCGCGAAGCACUUUUCUGUGCCUCUUUGAUCCUCCCUUUCCCAAACCCUUCUCUUUUUCCGCGACUGAAUUUUCUUGCUCAGUGAUAAGCUUGAUUUUGUUUAAUAAUCACUGUGGAUAAUUAGAGAUGAAUGCCUUUAAACUAUCUCAGGUCGGGUUUAUAUAAAGAUUUGAAGACGCUUGGAACUGGGACGAGCGUAAGCCAGUAAUGGCGUUGAUUAUAAUUUAAUCGAUGGGUGGUGAUAGCGAUCUAUGUCAUCCUUUUGGUUUGUUUUAUGUGGGUUGCUUAUAAGUGGAACCUUUGAGUGUUUUUUUUAAUUAUAAGUGGAAUUAAUUUUGGAAGUUAUUUAUUGCAUUUUUAUUGGUGCUCACAUAUGUUUGUGAAAACAUAAUACGCUUUAAAUAUGAAGAUAAUUUUUGGAUAAUACCAAAAGUCCCAAAUAUUACUAUAAAUUAGUACAAGGUGUAUUUUUUGUAAAAACUACAUAAGUAUACCUUUAGUGUGUUUAAGUAAUAUUAUUGCGUCAGAUGCUUCCUCUUUUAUUUCUAUUAAAGUUUACUCUAAUAAAAAAAAAAGUGAAGAAAAACUUCAUUUCUACCAUUUUUCAAUAUUUUUCAAUUUUCUAUGGCAUUAUGCCUAAUAGUAAGUCUUUCUCGAUCUUUACUCCAGUUCAUUCAAUCAAGACUUCCAUUCUCACAUUUGUUAUUAUUUUUUUCAUUUUCUUCCCUUUUUUAUGUGUUGUUUAAGGUACAUUAGAUUUGUAGUUACACUCAUAAUACAUCAGUUUUUGAGGCGUGCAUUAAUAUUUUUUAUGUUUAGAGCAUAUGGAUGUUGAAUUUAUGUUUUUCUGUCAUUUAUGGUUUCAAGUUUACGGAAGUGCACUUCCAUAUUUUGUCUAAAUUUUAUUUUCCUGAGUUACAGAAGUACAUUUCAUAUUUUACCUAUAUUAUUUAUUUGUUAUCUAUCAUUGGGUUUGAUUAUUUGAAUAUGAUUGGAUUUUUCCUUGUUUAAUUAUAGUUAACUAGUUGACGACUAAGAUAGAUUGAGGCACGGUAAGUGUCUAGUAUGCAUAUAUUCGUAAGAAGGGAGUUAAUCUCGGUGACGACCGUGGGUGCCAGUUCAUUUUGAUGUGGAAGCAUCCAUUUGACAGCUUGUUGUCAUAUUCGUUCCUGGGUUUUGGAAGAGACUCAUCUGACACUUCACUACUGCUUUGUAUGCAACCAUGUUGCUAGCCACGUGUAGGAUGGACAGGUAAAAUAAAUUUGUAUUUAUUCUUAAACAUUUUGUUAUAAGAUGCCAGUUCUGGUUCGAAGACUCGAUCAUUCUUCAUUCAUUUCAAACUCAACCUGAUAUCAAAAGCUAUUAAGGUUGCGAUUAGCCGAUUAUAAAUUCUCAUAAGUUAUUGGUUAGCCUGGUAUAAACCACAAUUCGGCUUUGUGAGCUCAACCUGAUGUUAAAACUCUCCAGCUUCAAGAUCAUCCAGUGUAAACUUGGUUGAAGUUUGAAGACUACCACUCCAAGUUUCUGUGGAAAGAUUAACUGCUUCAAUUCUUGUUUGGAAGAAGAUUCGCUUGAUUUCCUCCUUGUCGUUUUGGUUGGAAGUUAGCCAUAAACUUAAUUUCCUUUAUAAGGGGUUGAGAGUUCAACUUACUAAAUCUCUUUAUCGAUUGAUCUCUUUGCAACUUAGAUCCUAGGUAUCUUUCCUCUGACACUUUGGUGGACCUCUCGCUUCACGAUUCAGUCGAUGGAAACCCUGUGCAUCAAGUGGAACUCCGGGAUUUCAUGAUGUACCAGUGUUGGAUCGGUGCUCGAUGUUAACUAUGAACUUGCGGCAUCCUCCUGGCAUUGGCCCUUAUAAUGAUCCAAACACAACGAGAAGUGUGAGUGUAUCUGAUCGGAUGAUGGAUUGGGAGACUCCGGCCUGAACUUCAUGGAAAUUGACUUCAAACCCUGACUUGACCCUAGAUUUGGUUUGAGAUUCCUCUUUUUACUUUUCUGCAGAGUCUCGAGGAAUCAAAAUCUUGAUGAUAGGGUUCUGAACGGAAACAUGGUUAAUCGACUCGAUGGAUUCAGCUUUUGUUUUUAGGUGCAUUCGAUUAUGAAUCCGUGGAUAUGUGAAUGAUGAGACUGAAAUGUGCCCUGGAUCGCCGGAACGUAGGAAUCAUAAGGUGAUUUGGCUUCUUGAUAUGGUAACCUAGGAAGGUUGCGAUUUGAUAAAUAGAUGUUUGAAUCAAAUGCAAGAUUUUGAUAUAGAGUUUCUGUGUUUUUCCAACGUUUUGCAAACUAACAUAAUUUUCAUGGAAAAGGCAGAAUCAGAAGUUGAUUCCCACAGAAAAUCCAUCAUUCUAUUUGGGAACCAAAAACGAUGUUCCAACUUCACGAAGGAACUAGAAAUGAUGAGAGGUGGAUAUAGAUUUAUCUUGAGCGGUGACUCUGGUCUCCUUUACAUGGCGUGUGGUAACGCCCCAUAUAACUUUAGGAUUAUCGAAGACCCCACAACCAACGGGUUUUUCAGCAUGUUUUGUCCUUGGCUCACACGCUUUCCGAGAAGCUUCUCAAAGGUCACACAUCCAAAUACUAUUUUAAGCCAGGUACGUUUAACUAUGGAGUUCUUAUUUGUUAGGCUACCAAAAAAGAUGCAUCUUGCUUGUAUAGGUAUACAAUCAAUCCUUAUAAGUCCUACUUCAACACAACAAUCUCAUACUUGCGAUAACCUCAUGAUCUUCUCAUUCCGAUGUAAUUCAAGUGACACUCCUGAUCGUCACCAUUUCCAUUGAAUUCCCGCCGUAUAAUCCGAACAUAUUCUCAUUACUUGGUAAGAUUAGGUUGUUUUUAGUUGCUUUGGAGUCAUUUAUCAUGUUUUGUGGUUGUGGUAUCGCAUUGUAUUCGAUUACAAGUUUUGUCAAAAAGAUCUCGUUUAUGCUUCGUUUGUAGUGUCAUUGUUACAGGCAUUGCACAGGUUUAAAGCAAGAUGGUGAAGUUAUGGACACUCGAAAGGCAAAUAUGAAGAAACAACAGGUCGAACACGGCACCCGUGUGCCACAACACUGCCCAGUGUUGUUGUCAGGACAGAGCAAAAGAGGAAGAAGAGAACAGAGAUCACACGGCACCCGUGUUCCACCACACGGCCGUGUUGAUUAAAACAGUGCAUUAACACGGGCACCCUGUGUAGGAACACGGCCCGUGUUGUUGCCUCUGUAGAGUGUGCUGAAAAUAUUAAUUCUGGAGAACAAACACGGCCACCCCGUGUGUGACACACGACCGUGUUGAUUGGACGCAACUUGAAAAACUAAUUUUGUUUGUGAACCGAUUCUGCUCAUUAAGGUAGUUGGACUUUUACUUGGAAGAGAUUGUCUGAAACUAUAGAAGCUGAAGAGAAGAAGAAGGGCACUUUUUUUUGACGACGAAGAAAACUUGCAUUGGAGAAGUACGAAUAGAAUGAUUGAGACGGAGAAGUUCAAGGGCAUCACCCAUUGAAGAUCAACUCUCCUGAUUCAUUGUAAUGUCUAUUUUUUAACGUAUGUUCUUUAAGUACCAUGAAGGCUAACCCCCUGAUGCUAGGGGGUGUCCUGAUGUUAUCGCAUGUUAUGAAUUUGAACAAAUAAUUCUUGAUUACUAUGUUACUUAUUCUCUCACACAAANCAUCUUAACAUUCCACAUAUCACCAUAAUUCAACUCUAUGAAUUAUCCACCAAUGGUACAUAUACACAUUCAUAACAAAUACACCAUUCACAUAAUAUGCAAUUAAGAUCAUCUCUACCAUCUUAACAUUCAUAACAAAUACACCAUUCACACAAUAUGCAAUUAAGAUCAUCUCUACCAUCUUAACAUUCAUAACAAAUACACCAUUCACAUAAUAUGCAAUUAAGAUCAUCUUUAUCAUCUUAACAUUCAUAACAAAUACACCAUUCACAUAAUAUGCAAUUAAGAGCAUCUCUACUAUCUUAACAUUCAUAACAAAUACACCAUUCACAUAAUAUGCAAUUAAGAUCAUCUCUACCAUCUUAACAUUCAUAACAAAUACACCAUUCACAUAAUAUGUAAUUAAGAUUAUCUCUACCAUCUUAACAUUCAUAACAAAUACACCAUUCACAUAAUAUCUAUUAGAGUCACCUUUCUAAUGCUUUAAACCCCAACCCAAAAUGAUUCACGAGUUAAAAGUUAUGAAUAAAAUCGUGCACGAAGGUGUUACUAAAAAGUUGUUGUUUAUUAAAUUUUCCAACAUAAUUUUCAUCUUCUUCAACUCCCAAAACGUACAUGAAAUAAUCUCCAAAAUUAUUUUAUUCCUGAAACAAAGUUAUAGCCCUCUGUUUCAGCUAUCCAACGCUUCAAACGGCACUCAAUUUGGACUUACGGAUCAAAAGUUAUGACCAAAACGAUUUCGACAAUAAACAUCAAAAAUGCCGCGAUUGUAACGGACAGAAUGCAGAAUUUUCUGCGGUUUUCAUCGUUGGAUGACUUCCGGACCUCCGAUUUCGAUUCCGUAAAAAGCCACAUGUUCAGAAAAUUAUAACUCACACAAUACUCUAAAUAUUAUACAUUAAUUUGCAGUUUUAACACAAUCAAUCACCACAAUCGAGCAUACUCAUCAAAACUAACAAUUCCAAACAACCAUACAAAAUUAGGGAUUUUAACCUAAACAUACAUCUAUCCAUUGAUCCAAUCAUACUAACCAAUAAUAAUAAGGAUCCCCCCUUACCUCUUCAAUUUUCUGGAAAUCCUAGCUCUUCUCUUUACUUUUCCUUCUCCUCUUUCUCUAUUGCCUUCAAUGAUCAAAUGAAUCCUAAUUCUCACUCUCUUCACCUCUUACUAUUUAUAUUAGUAUUCUAUUUGGGCUUAAGUCAUUAUACUUCUAAUUUAAUUAAUAGCGCCCAAUAAGACCUAAUAUUUAAAUAUCUCUAUUUAAUUCAAAUAAUUAAAUAACACCAUAUAUCCACCAAGUUAAUUAAUUCAAUUAUUCAUGAUAUCUCCUAUCAACUAAAUAAUUAAUUAACACACCAAAUUAAUUAAUAUAAUCGAUUAUUAUACUACCAAACAACCCAUUAAUUAAUUAACACUCCACAUAAAUAAAAUAAAAUAAAUACUAAAAUUGGGUUGUUACAAUGAAAGUCUCAAGUAAACAUUAUUUUACGUUCAUAAGGAACAUACAUGCUUUUCAUUUGAAACUUAAAUUUAUCAUCCUCAUACAUAAGGAAGAAUCUAAACUAAAUAAAGAGUAACAUGUAUUUUGUUCCAUCUAAUCCUAGAUUAUCAUAAAAAGAUUAAAAAUCAAAGCACAUUUAGCGGGAGAAACUACAUGAUUAAAUCCAUAUGAUAGAAGCACAUAAUAAUUUGUUUCAAUUCUGUUCAAAUACAUCUAAGAUUAAACUAAUCAAAAGAGCUUAAACGGAACAAAUAAAAUACAUCAAAUUAACGAAAAUUUACAUUAAACCCAACUAAGGCAUACAAACCCUAAAUUGGAUCCUAAAAUCAACCACCGAAACCGUAAAGAUUCCUUCCCUGCCUCUUUAGAGCGUAAACAACAUCCAUGGCGGUGGCAGUUUUCCUUCUAGCAUGCUCAGUGUAGGUGACAGCAUCACGAAUAACAUUCUCGAGAAAGAUCUUGAGAACACCGUGAGUUUCUUCAUUGAUGAGACCACUAAUUCUCUUCACACUGCCUCUUCUGGCCAAACGGCGAAUUGCAGGCUUGGUAAUUCCCUGGAUGUUGUCGCGAAGCACUUUUCUGUGCCUCUUUGAUCCUCCCUUUCCCAAACCCUUUCCUCUUUUUCCGCGACCUGACAUUUUC